CUCAUUUCUGGAUCCCAGAUAUUUAGACUGAACGUCUUUGGGAUCUGCGAGAAAUAAACGAAGGACAGUAGGGAACAAGCAACACAACAAGAAAUUGACAGAAAACACCUAAAUCGAAAUGGGAGCAAAUGUGUUGCAGGAUGGUCAAGGAACACCGCAAAGAGAUGUUGAGAAGCAGUAAGGAGCAGAAUGAAACAAGAGACGCAACAAGAAAGGACUGUACGUUUUGAGGAUCUCCGAAAAGUAACGGAAGUCGCAGGGAACAAGAGACACAACAAUAAGCUGCCAAAUUACAUACAAAAUGAAAUGGGAGCAAUCAAGUUGCUGGAUGGUCAAGGAACAACACAAAGCGACGUUGAGAAGCAGUAAUGAGCAGAACGGCACAAGAGACGAGAGGAAGUUGCCAAAAUACAGCCAGAUCGGUACACGACAGUACAAUGUCUUUAGAAGUUUAUAAAUGUCUACAAAAGAUAAAAUUGUCCUUUUUAUUCAUAUGUUAUUGGCUUCAUAGAAGGAAUGAAAACGCAACAAGAAAUAACGUUAGAAAUUUCUCCAAAAAAAUGAGUUCAAGACAAAAGUAAUGAACAGCCGUGACAAGAGAAACAAUGUCUCGAGGAUCAACGAGAAAGAACAUAAAACAGAGGGGAGCAAGAGACCCAAGAAGAAAUAACUGAAUAUGACGAGGAUCAACGAGAAAGAACACAAAACGAAAGAGACACAACGAAAAUGAACUUAACUGAAUACAUUUAUCUUUAACAUUUAAAUUGUGGUAUUUUAAGUUAUUUACUUGUUAAGAUUUAAUAAAUCCAUUUUCCACUUGCAGUGCCUGUCAGCCGCUCUCUCCCUCUCUCUCCCUCUCUCUGCCGCCUC